rnacentral:rRNA from 1 species
UACGAGGGGGCUAGCGUUGUUCGGAAUUACUGGGCGUAAAGCGCACGUAGGCGGAUAUUUAAGUCAGGGGUGAAAUCCCAGAGCUCAACUCUGGAACUGCCUUUGAUACUGGGUAUCUUGAGUAUGGAAGAGGUAAGUGGAAUUGCGAGUGUAGAGGUGAAAUUCGUAGAUAUCGGGAGGAACACCAGUGGCGAAGGCGGCGACCUGGGCAGAUAUGACGCUGAGGUGCGAAAAGCGUGGGGAGCAAACAGG